rnacentral:pre_miRNA from 1 species
AACUUCAACUCAGUUUAUGCCACAGAAACACGGAAAACAGCCGUUUACACGUAGGUGUUUUCCGUGUUUCUGUGGCAUAAAUUGAGUUGAAGUU